CAAUAGCGUAUAUUAAAAUUGUUGCGGUUAAAACGCUCGUAGUUGGAUAUCUGCUGAGGGGUUCCGGUCCUUCCCAGUGAAGAAUACGCGGAACUCUUCUUGGCAUUUAUUCAGGGAAGGUGUUUGCACUUUGUUGUGUGUCACGUGAUCUGAAUUUUUACUUUGAGGAAAUGAGAGUGUUUCAAGCAGGCUUUCGCCGUGAAUAUGAUAGCAUGGAAUAAUAGCACAGGACCCCUUUCCAAAGCUGUUGGUUUUUGGAACGAGGUAAUCAGAAUAAGGAUAGUUGGGGGUAUUCGUAUUUAACUGUCAGAGGUGAAAUUCUUGGAUUUUUUAAAGACGAACUAUUGCGAAGGCAUCUGCCCAGGAUGUUUUUGUUGA
rnacentral:rRNA from 1 species